rnacentral:misc_RNA from 1 species
AUGUGACUCUGUUGGGCU